rnacentral:RNase_P_RNA from 1 species
AGGGUCUUCCCAGUUGUCGCCUCUGCUUUAGCAGAGGAGGAAAGUCCGGGCUCCAAAGGGCAGGAAGCUGCCGAAAGGCAGGUGGGGGAAACCUCACGGAUAGGGUCGCAGAAAGUAGGUAUCCUGUCUUGAGAGGUGUUUGUAGGUAGUAUCUACCGAAAAGCCUCUCCAGACAGGUUAAAGUGAAACGGUAGGGUAAGAGCCUACCAGUGCCACUGGCGACAGUGGUAGCUGAUAACCCCCUUCCGGAGCAAUCCCAAAUAGGAGGGCAAUAUAAGGCUUGCCCGGCCCAUGCCCUCGGGUAGGGAGCUUAGAUAAAUGACAACUUAAUACAGAACCCGGCUUAUAGGAAGACCCUUUAU